rnacentral:rRNA from 1 species
CAGAGGGCGCGAGCGUUGUCCGGAAUCACUGGGCGUAAAGGGCGCGUAGGUGGCCACCAUAAGGCCGCGGUGAAAGUUCGGGGCUCAACCCCGGAUCGGCCGCGGCGACUGUGGGGCUUGGGCACCGUAGAGGCAGAUGGAAUUCCGGGUGUAGCGGUGGAAUGCGUAGAGAUCCGGAAGAACACCAGUGGCGAAGGCGGUCUGCUGGGCGGUGGACUCGCAAGAGUCCAAUAGCCGACACUGAGGCGCGACAGCGUGGGGAGCAAACAGGAUUAGAUACCCUGGUAGUCCACGCCGUAAACGAUGGGCACUAGGUGCUCCGGGGAGCGACCCUUGGAGUACCGGCGCUAACGCAUGAAGUGCCCCGCCUGGGGAGUACGGCCGCAAGGCUG